rnacentral:rRNA from 1 species
GUCCACGCCGUAAACGAUGUCAACUAGUUGUUGGUCUUAUUAAGAAGAUUAGUGACGAAGCUAACGCGAUAAGUUGACCGCCUGGGGAGUACGGUCGCAAGACUAAAACUCAAAUGAAUUGACGGGGGCCCGCACAAGCGGUGGAGCAUGUGGUUUAAUUCGAUGCAACGCGAAGAACCUUACCAGGUCUUGACAUCCAGAGAAUCUUUUAGAGAUAGAAGAGUGCCUUCGGGAAUUCUGAGA